ACCCUAACCAGCAGCUAUCAGCCUUAAACAAAAAAAAAUAAGAAAAAAACUUAAACAUUUGCCCCCCCCCCAAAAGCUUCGCCGUUUCAAAUCCCAUGCCUCUGUCGAUUCAACUCCGAUUAGCCCAGAGGAGAAGAAGGCUUCAUCGGCGCUGUUAAAAGGUACGGCCGUACGGAGGCUAGGUGGAGGCUCGUGGUGGCGCUACGUGCGUGAGGAGGCAAGCGCGCGUGGGAGGAGCGGCGCUGGAAGCUGCUAGGGCUUCAGCUUCCAAUUUUACGUUGGACCACUUCGUGAUUGGGCAUGGGGGGAAUUGGGCCUACUUGGGUUUAGGCCUGCUAAUGUAAAAAAAUUGGACUGUAUUAUUAUUUUUUGGACUUUAAUUUUUAAUUUGGUUUAUUUAUUACGGGCCAUGGCAAAAAUGGGCUAUUACAAUUGUUUAUAAUAUCAUUUAAAUUAGUUUAAAUUUAUAAAAUGAAUGUUUCCAUUUUUA